rnacentral:rRNA from 1 species
CCCCUAGAUGUUCUGGGCCGCACGCGCGCUACACUGAACAGUUCAACAAGUCUUAACCUUGGCCGAUAGGUCUGGGUAAUCUUUGAACGCUGUUCGUGAUUGGGAUAGACCUUUGCAAUUAUGGGUCUUCAACGAGGAAUUCCUAGUAAACGCAAGUCAUCAGCUUGCAUUGAUUACGUCCCUGCCCUUUGUACACACCGCCCGUCGCACCUACCGAUUGAAUGGUCCGGUGAAAUCUCGGGACGGCGGCUUGGUCGCUUGAGUCCGACUGCUGAAACUUGAUUAAACCAUAUCAUUUAGAGGAAGGUGAAGUCGUAACA